rnacentral:lncRNA from 1 species
ACUACCUUACAAAGCCACCAAAUAAUGCUCAAAAAUUCACUAUAGAAACUUUUUUAUUUUUUGAACAGCAAAUGCAGAGACCGACACAAAAGUAACUACAUAACAAGGCGCCGUAUAUAUGCGGAACGCCAAAAAUAAACAUCAAAACAAACACCAGCUAACAAUGCAUUGCUCCACUAUUCAGUUUUUGUUCUUUCCACUCUACUAAAAAACUACAAAUCCUUCAAAACAUGAAAACAAAUGCUACUAUACUAUCACUGGAAUUGUCAAUUUCUAUUUUGUAAUUCAAUUUCUGUUCCACUCUACUACAAAACUACAAAUUGUCAAUUUCAUUCAUGUUAAAAAUGCAAAUCUAAAACACAACAAUGUAGAAAUUAAGCCUAAGUUUAAAAAACAAACUUCAUAUCUAAAAAAUAAAUCAGCCAAUUACAUUUUCAGAUCUUCAAUCUUCCAAACUAAUGAAGCAACUAAAUGCAGUUUCCAAUAACAGAUUUUACAAGAAAUUUUUGCAAUAUCAAACCCUAAGCUAGGUUAAAAUCAACUUAAAAUCAAUUCCUAAACGAGGUAUACUCAGUGAAUAAUAGAUUCGAACUACAUAUCACAAAUUCGUGAGAUUCAGAGGAAUUUAGAGGGAUUCAACAAUUGAUUCCGUGAAUGAUUCGGCGAAAUGAAGAUGAAGAUGUAAGAUUCAUGAGAGAUUGAGAUGUAAGCGAGAGAUUCGGUGAAUGAUUCGACGAAUUGAACUUAGGAGAGAUUGAAAGCGAGAGAUGAAAAUGAAAGUGAUUUUGUGAAAUUGAUUCUGUGAGCGAGAGAGAAAAUGAAA